rnacentral:rRNA from 1 species
CCUACGGGAGGCAGCAGUGGGGGAUAUUGGACAAUGGGGGGAACCCUGAUCCAGCGACGCCGCGUGAGUGAAGAAGUAUUUCGGUAUGUAAAGCUCUGUCAGCAGGGAAGAAAGAAAUGACGGUACCUGACCAAGAAGCCCCGGCUAACUACGUGCCAGCAGCCGCGGUAAUACGGAGGGGGCAAGCGUUAUCCGGAAUUACUGGGUGUAAAGGGAGCGUAGACGGUUAAGUAAGUCUGGAGUGAAAGGCCGGGGCCCAACCCCGGGACUGCUCUGGAAACUAUUGAACUUGAGUGCAGGAGAGGUAAGCGGAAUUCCUAGUGUAGCGGUGAAAUGCGUAGAUAUUAGGAGGAACACCAGUGGCGAAGGCGGCUUACUGGACUGUAACUGACGUUGAGGCUCGAAAGCGUGGGGAGCAAACAGGAUUAGAUACCCCUGUAGUC